rnacentral:tRNA from 1 species
GUCAGAAUGGCGAGCGGUCUAAGGCGCCAGACUCAAGGUUGUGCACCUUCUCCAAAACAGAGAGAUUUCUGGUCUCCGAAUGGAGGCGUGGGUUCAAAUCCCACUUCUGACA